UACAGGAGGUGCAAGCGUUAAUCGGAAUUACUGGGCGUAAAGCGUGCGUAGUCGGUUAUCUAAGUCGGAUGUGAAAUCCCCGGGCUCAACCUGGGAAUUGCAUUCGAUACUGGAUAGCUAGAGUUCGGCAGAGGGAAGUGGAAUUUCGGGUGUAGCGGUGAAAUGCGUAGAUAUCCGAAGGAACAUCAGUGGCGAAAGCGACUUCCUGGACCAGAACUGACGAUCAGGCACGAAAGCGUGGGGAGCAAACAGG
rnacentral:rRNA from 1 species